UACGGAGGGGGCUAGCGUUGUUCGGAAUUACUGGGCGUAAAGGGCGCGUAGGCGGCCUUCUAAGUCGGACGUGAAAUCCCUCGGCUUAACCGAGGAACUGCGUCCGAUACUGAAAGGCUUGAAUCCGGGAGAGGGAUGUGGAAUUCCAGGUGUAGCGGUGAAAUGCGUAGAUAUCUGGAGGAACACCGGUGGCGAAGGCGGCAUCCUGGACCGGUAUUGACGCUGAGGCGCGAAAGCUAGGGGAGCAAACGGG
rnacentral:rRNA from 1 species